GGAGAGGUCGCAUAGCUGGUCUAGUGCGCGCGACUGGAAAUCGCGUUUCGAGAAAUCGAUCGUGGGUUCGAAUCCCACCCUCUCCG
rnacentral:tRNA from 1 species